rnacentral:rRNA from 1 species
UACGUAGGGUGCAAGCGUUGUUCGGAAUUACUGGGCGUAAAGGGCGCGUAGGCGGUUUGCUAAGUUGAAUGUGAAAACUCUGGGCUUAACCCAGAGCCUGCAUUCAAUACUGGCAGGCUAGAGUUCUGGAGGGGAUAGCGGAAUUCCGUGGUGUAGCGGUGAAAUGCGUAGAUAUCAGGAGGAACACCGGUGGCGAAGGCGGCUAUCUGGACAGAGUCUGACGCUGAGGCGCGAAAGCUAGGGGAGCAAACAGG